AAAAAAAAUUGGAACUUUGGUUUGUUUGUUGUUUUUGGGCCAUUUUAAGUUCUCACGGGGUUGACACGGCUGACGGGGCAAGGUGCUCGGGGGCUGUUGUAGCGGAGACCUGUGUGAUAACCGUGUGACUAGGAGUCGAGAAAGUUAAGUGUUUUAUUACUUCUCUAAACAGAGGGCAAGUCUUAAAAGUCUGGUCGAUUUAUAGUGAACAGAAACCAGCUGCCGUAAAGAAACUUAAAAUAGAAUCCUCUCCCCACGUUAAAAAUCAGGUUUCUGGGGAGAAAAGGGGGAGAAAGAGGAGGGGGUGGGGAAAAAAACCCAAACCCCAGAGCACAACCACCCCAAAAGCUCCUGCAAAUACAAAUAAGGCAUCAUUAAAGUAUGUUUUUACUCAUUGCAAUUCCUCAGCCUCACGUUUUGAAUGCACUGGAUGUAUAGAUAUCUAUUAUUUUUUUCCCCUCUCCAUUGAUAUUUUCUAGCAGUUUGGGGAUUUCUCGAAAGUAUUUCAUCAAGAUAUGUCACUACCUAAAAGGUAUUUAUUUUUUCCCCCAUGAAAACAUGUAGAGGGAAUAUGUGGGGCGCUUUCUGGUUAAAUUGGUCUGCAAACAAUUAUGUAAACUCAUCAGCAGAAGCAAGAACAGAUGUUUUAUUAAAAGUGCUACACAGCAGUAGAAAUAUGUACAAGUCUUCGAGUAGCUCUUUAAUAGGAGUUGCUCUUUGUUCCAGAAAAGAAAAGCGCCCAUAGAAAUCUGAAAUAACAUCCACCACUAUAAGCCAUAUUCUUCCCCCCCCUCCUUUUUUCCCCUCCUCUCCCCCCCCACUGAUGCUCACAUGGGGGGGGGGGAAGGAUUAAAAAAAUAGAUUAAUAAAUAUAUGUUGGGAGAUUUCCUGCCCCCUCCCAGCUAUAAUUAGGAAUUGAUGAACUGAUUUGGGGGGGGGGCGCUUAAAAAAAAAAAAGCAAUCCCAACACAUGUGUUUUCUAUCCCUCAGUAAUUACUGAAAGGAAACAAAUCCAAAUCGGUGUCCCCCCCCUCCCCUCCCUCCGCCAACAGCCUGCACACACCGCUACUGGCAGCGAGCUGCGGCCCUGAGCCGCUCGGGGGGCUUUUUUUUGGGGGGGGGGAGGGGGGACAUGUUGUAUUUGCUCUUCUCUCUCCAGCCACGUCGCCCACUUGGGGCUGGUCCUGGGCGUGGGGCAAGAGAUGGGGCUUCCCCCCCACCCCCACCCCCACCCCACGCGUGUCGUGGUCGGGAGGCGCCCGCUCGGGGCAUGGAGCCGCUCUGAGCCCCCCCCUUCCCUUAAAAAUUACAAUUAUUGAAGCAGGGUGAGGCUUUUUUUUCUGUAAACUGCUGCAAAAAUGGCUCUUUUGGGAUGCUCGAAGGGGGGGUACCCUCAGCCCUACCCCCCCCCUCCCCAAAAGCCCACACCUAUGCGUGUGUGAGGCCCACGCACGCCCCCGCGCAGCGCUGACAUCUGCCCGUACGGCUGCGCGCUCCCAGCUGAUUAAAUACUCGAAGCUCUUAGAGGUAAAUACAAGCGAUGCCAUUAAAAGCCUUUUUAUUUAAACCGAUUUCACCUUGUAUCUGGGAUCUCUGGGAUCCUGCCUCCCCCCUCCCCUUCGCCUUUUUUUUUUUUUUUAACUUGACAUUUAUGGCACACGUGAGCCCUAAUUAUUUAUUUGGGUCUUUCGCUGGGAAUUUAUUCCUGCUCUUUACAACAGGGUUUUCCCUGUCAAAUAUUGCUUUUGCUGUAAAUAACGCUUUAAAAAUAAAAUAAGAUGAAAAAAAAAAAGAAAAUAAAAUAUGGGAUAACGACACCCAAACAAAAAAAAUUAAGGGUGACAACAACAGAGUGGGGGAGGUUUAUGGGGAGGUUUAUUUACCUCUUCCCCCAGCCUGAAAUGGCUCGCAUUGUUUUGGAGCCGGCUCUAUUCUCUGUAAUUACAACCUCGGAGUCAGAGUCUGGGCAGCUCUUAAUUAAAAUAAAAUUUAAAAAAAACCAAACCCAAGGAGAUUUCAUCUCUCCUUCCCCGAAAUACUUCUCUUCAGACUAUUUAAAGUUUGAUUCCGGCGCUGCAGACACCGCGUUGGCCUGUUCGGGUGGUUUAUUUGCUAAUUAAAAGCAUUUUCUGCACCAAGAUGCACAAAGCCAUAAUUAGCGAAAACACCCAUUUUUUCCCCCCAUACCUCGCCAAGAAGAGGGGCUGGAAAAAACCACAACCAGCGCCGGUUCUGCUAUUUUUUUUAAACGCAAACCUCCGCAAACCCCUGGUUUUUUCGCCCUAGGUGGAUGCAGAGUAUUCACCACCCCGCGCAUCGCCCGCAGAGUUCCCCAGACGAGUCAAUUCUUUGCUUUUCCUAUUGAUCCCCCCCCCCCCCCCAGCGUGGUGGAGGGAAAUGGCCUUAAACGUGUUCUUGUUGCCUUUAUUUAUGCUCGGAGUUGCUUUAGGAAAGUGCACCAAAAGUUCAGGGCGGCUCCCUUCAAGUUGCAACGCUCAGCGCGGAAAAAAAAAUCAUAUAAUAAUAAUAGUAAUAAUGUGGGGGGGGGGGGGGGGGAGAAGGGGGGGUUUCUCGCUUGCUAAAGCCUCCCAGGCGCUGCACAGAUUUCCAGGGCUUGGAAGGUUAAAAAAAAAAAAAAAAAAAAAAAGGGGGAGAAUUCUGGCAAUUGUCAAAACACAUGUCUGCUGACCAGGAACCCGGGAGGUGUGUGGGGAAGAGAAAUUAAUCUGUUCCUACUUCUGAAAUUUAUCCCUCUUCUUCCCGCCGAGGCUCGAAAGCGCGCCCUGACACUUGGAAGCGUUUAUUUAGAUCCCCCCCCCUCGUUGAUAUCGCGAAGGGAGGAGGCUUUUAAUCCUCAAAUAUUCUUUUUAAUAGCGGGGGGGGGUGGUGGGGGUGUGUGAUUUACUUCAUUAUUUUCUCCUUCCCAGAUUUAUUGGCGAAUCCCAGCCCAACAAAAGAAGCAGCACCGAAAUCUCCCGCGGAAACGGGACUUCGCUGGGGCUUAAAUUACCAAGUAACCACGUUGCGAAAAGCUCUUACAACGCGGCGGAUUUGGCAUAAUAAAACACCCACACGGUCGUGCUCUGUGUUUAUACGUAUAUAUUUGAUCGUAACGCGCUUUUAUAGAGGCCGAGAUAAACGCCCACGCGCGGGGCAGAUCGUAUCGAAGGGGUUUAUGGCCGGGGUUUGGGCGCGGAACGUGGACGCGCGCAAAGAAAAUGCGAAUUUCCUCUUGUUGCCCAGAUUGUGUUUACGUCCUUCCUCCGCGAAUAAGCUCGUACUCAACACCUCGGAAUAAAACUCCCCUAUAAAUAAAUUCGGAAGCGUUUGGGACAGCGGAAUUCCCGUUUCCAAAAUUCUGUAGGAUCCUGAUUUUUUUUUUUAUUUGUGGCUCGGUUUUUUUUUUUGUUCCUCCACCGACAACCUCCGUCGAAGAAAAUCUAUUAUUUCCUCCAAGUCCAUGUCAAUAACACGUGGCGAUUUUCCUCUAAUCCCUGAUGUUACAGAUACGAGCAGCAAUUUAUUUCCUCUGGUUUAAACCGCGAUUAAAAAAAAAAAAAAAAAAAAGAACCAACCAACACCACGACAAACCCAACACCCAACCCAACACACCAACAAAAACCAUCUCGGCGAAUAUAAAUCACUCCGUUAUUCCAGCUCUACAUCUAAAAAUGUUUCUCCGCAUUGCGAGUGUCUGAAGGAUGACGAUACGUCAAGGGAAAAGAGGGGGGAAAUAAAAAUUUAAAUUAAAAUCAAUAUAUUUUGGAGUCGGUUUGGGGGGUUCCAGGCCUGGC